GUCAGGCGCUGGCAAUGCGUUGCCAGGCUUUGUGGAUAAAAAGGAAGUCGGUUACUAUCUUUGGUUAUCUAGCUGUAUGAGUGAUAAUCUAUCGUCAUAAAGCUAGAUCACCGAAAGUAGAAAUGGCAUCCCAAAACAGCGAUUUGGACGAAUGGUUUUCCAAAAUACCAAGAACAAAUGAGCAUGUUCGGGCCAGUCUGAAGCUAACUACAAAGGUACGGUCCAAAUCCCCCAUCAACGACAUCUGUAACGGCACCGAGCCUAACAGCAGCAGGCCUACAUGUGUCCGCCUGCCACCUACUCUGGGGGCUCGAGGGGAAGAAGAAGGCAGGAAGGGAAGGAGGUGGGGUGAAUGGCACAAUCGUCCAAAAGAAAUAAUAGUCACCCUCUUACACUCCUUCUACCAACACCCACCACACACACACACACACACAGACACACACACACACCCCUUUGCCCCUCCCCUCCAUCAACGGAAGCCUUCGGUGCCAUCUGUGCCCCCGGGAGGAUGGAAGAAAGAAAGGGGUGCGAAAAAUAAGGACAAGCUCCAGCCCUGGUGCCAAUGUGGGGACAAAGAGGCUGUUGGUUUCCACGCUCCUGGCGUCUUUCAGCAGGGGAAGGGGAACUGUAAUGCUACAGCUAGGCUGGCUGAGCCUGCUCCAGAAGCCAUCUUGAUGAAGACUCACGCCUGCCCUAACUAAAAUGGCUGUGUUGGCAUGAGGGUUUUGGAGAAGACUGCAAUUGAACAACAAGAGAGCAUUCAGCAUUCAGCAUUCAAACUGACAAGCUUCAGACAAGCUUCAGAGACACGCUUUCCUGCCAUCAUGUCAACAUCAGCCAGUCAACAUGCAGCCGCUAGGGGAUUUUACCUCCAAAGACAUUUGCCAUUUAUGUACCUGCCUACUUGGAGUUAUAUGGAGUGCUCUCUCUCUCUCUCUCUCUCUCUCUCUCUCUCUCUCUCUCUGUGUUUCAAAUGCUUUAUUGCUUUCAUUAAAAUCUAAUCGAGGUAUAAAGAAUGAGUCCUGUCCUGUAAGAGACCUGUCCAGUGUGUCUGGACAGCUAGAGUACACAAGCACAAUACUAUGUGAUCCCUGAAUGUGGACGUGCUGGUGAACCAUUGCCUUAAUGUGUGUGCUGUUUACCGUCAUGCAUAGUUAGUAGUGUAUGACAAGAUAUCUUGAGCAAAUGAAUGUGCACUGUCUACACGCUGUCCACCCCUGUUUUUAAAUGCCAUUUUAAUGUGCUGGUGUCACCAUCAAUGUCAACUCCAGACAUUCUGGCUUAGUGUAAAUGAUUUCCAUUACUGCCUCUACUCUUUAAAAAGACAAAAGUGAUGUGAUGUGAGAGAAAACUGAGAUUAGACAUGUCUUUUUAUCUACUUAAUCAUGUGGAGGUGGAGUUUUGUGUGUGUGUGCGCGCAUUUGUGUGCAUGUGAACCAGCCUGUCUGUGUCCAUUCCUUACCCUUUCAAUGAAGACUAAAAUAUUUGUUUUAAUAAAUAACAAACAAAACAUAUGUUCCCUUUGACU
rnacentral:lncRNA from 1 species